UACAGAGGUCUCAAGCGUUGUUCGGAUUCAUUGGGCGUAAAGGGUGCGUAGGCGGCGUGGUAAGUCGGGUGUGAAAUCUCGGAGCUUAACUCCGAAACUGCAUUCGAUACUGCCGUGCUUGAGGACUGGAGAGGAGACUGGAAUUUACGGUGUAGCAGUGAAAUGCGUAGAUAUCGUAAGGAAGACCAGUGGCGAAGGCGAAUCUCUGGACAGUUACUGACACUGAGGCACGAAGGCCAGGGGAGCAAACGGG
rnacentral:rRNA from 1 species